CAAACUGAAGAUGGCGACCGGCGCACGGGUGAGUAACACGUAUCCAACCUACCGAUAACUCCGGAAUAGCCUUUCGAAAGAAAGAUUAAUACCGGAUAGCAUACGAAUAUCGCAUGAUAUUUUUUAUUUAAAGAAUUUCGGUUAUCGAUGGGGAUGCGUUCCAUUAGUUUGUUGGCGGGGGUAACGGCCCACCAAGACUACGAUGGAUAGGGGGUUCUGAGAGGAAGGUCCCCCACAUUGGAACUGAGACACGGUCCAAACUCCUACGGGAGGCAGCAUG
rnacentral:rRNA from 1 species